CCUACGGGUGGCUGCAGUGGGGAAUAUUGGACAAUGGGCGAAAGCCUGAUCCAGCCAUGCCGCGUGUGUGAAGAAGGCCUUCGGGUUGUAAAGCACUUUCAGUGGGGAAGAAAGCCUUGGGGCUAAUACCCUCGAGGAAGGACAUCACCCACAGAAGAAGCACCGGCUAACUCCGUGGCAGCAGCCGCGGUAAUACGGAGGGUGCGAGCGUUAAUCGGAAUUACUGGGCGUAAAGCGCGCGUAGGCGGUCUGAUAAGCCGGUUGUGAAAGCCCCGGGCUCAACCUGGGAACGGCAUCCGGAACUGUCAGGCUAGAGUGCAGGAGAGGAAGGUAGAAUUCCCGGUGUAGCGGUGAAAUGCGUAGAGAUCGGGAGGAAUACCAGUGGCGAAGGCGGCCUUCUGGACUGACACUGACGCUGAGGUGCGAAAGCGUGGGUAGCAAACAGGAUUAGAUACCCCGGUAGUC
rnacentral:rRNA from 1 species